UACGUAGGGGGCAAGCGUUGUCCGGAUUUAUUGGGCGUAAAGCGCGUGUAGGCGGCCAGGUAGGUCCGCUGUGAAAACCCGAGGCUCAACCUCGGGACGUCGGCGGAAACCAUUGGCUAGAGUCCGGAAGAGGAGAGUGGAAUUCCUGGUGUAGCGGUGAAAUGCGCAGAUAUCAGGAAGAACACCCGUGGCGAAGGCGGCUCUCUGGGACGGUACUGACGCUGAGACGCGAAAAGCGUGGGGAGCGAACAGG
rnacentral:rRNA from 1 species